CAGCGGAGGGGAUCAUUACCAGAGUGCCCUAGGCUCUCCAACCCAUUGUGAACUUACCAAACGUUCCCUCGGCGGGCUCAGCGCGCGGCGGCCUCCGGGCCUCCGGGCGUCCGCCGGGGAAAACCAAACCCUGAUUUAAUCGUAUUUCUCUGAGGGGCGAAAGCCCGAAAACAAAAUGAAUCAAAACUUUCAACAACGGAUCUCUUGGCUCUGGCAUCGAUGAAGAACGCAGCGAAAUGCGAUAAGUAAUGUGAAUUGCAGAAUUCAGUGAAUCAUCGAAUCUUUGAACGCACAUUGCGCCCGCCGGCACUCCGGCGGGCAUGCCUGUCCGAGCGUCAUUUCAACCCUCAGGCCCACCCUUCCGGGGGAGCGGGCCUGGUGCUGGGGAUCGGCGGCCCUCGCGGCCCCCGUCCCUCAAAUUCAGUGGCGGUCGCGCCGCAGCCUCCCCUGCGUAGUAGCACAACCUCGCACCGGAGAGCGGAACGACCACGCCGUGAAACCCCCAAUUUUUCAAGGUUGACCUCGGAUCAGGUAGGAAUACCCGCUGAACUUAAGCAUAUCAAUAAGCGGAGGAA
rnacentral:rRNA from 1 species